rnacentral:rRNA from 1 species
AGUGAACGCUGGCGGUAGGCCUAACACAUGCAAGUCGAACGGCAGCACAGUAAGAGCUUGCUCUUACGGGUGGCGAGUGGCGGACGGGUGAGUAAUACAUCGGAAUCUACUUUUUCGUGGGGGAUAACGUAGGGAAACGUACGCUAAUACCGCAUACGACCUACGGGUGAAAGCAGGGGAUCUUCGGACCUUGCGCGAUUGAAUGAGCCGAUGUCGGAUUAUCUAGUUGGCGGGGUAAAGGCCCACCAAGGCGACGAUACGUAGCUGGUCUGAGAGGAUGGUCAGCCCCACUGGAACUGAGACACGGUACAGACUACUACGGGAGGCAGCAGUGGGGAAUAUUGGACAAUGGGCGCAAGGCUGAUCCAGCCAUACCGCGUGGGUGAAGAAGGCCUUCGGGUUGUAAAGCCAUUUUGUUGGGAAAGAAAAGCAGCAGGUUAAUCCCCCGCUGUUCUGACGGUACCCAAAGAAUAAGCACCGGCUAACUUCGUG